UACGAAGGGGGCUAGCGUUGUUCGGAAUUACUGGGCGUAAAGGGCGCGUAGGCGGAUCGGCAAGUCAGAAGUGAAAUCCCUGGGCUCAACCCAGGAAUUGCUUUUGAGACUGUCGGUCUUGAGUACAGGAGAGGUGAGUGGAAUUCCCAGUGUAGAGGUGAAAUUCGUAGAUAUUGGGAGGAACACCAGUGGCGAAGGCGGCUCACUGGCCUGUAACUGACGCUGAGGCGCGAAAGCGUGGGGAGCAAACAGG
rnacentral:rRNA from 1 species